UUGAUUAGAAAAUCCUUAAAUUUCCAUGUUUGCACUUAUUUUUUUAAAAAAUUUCUUGGUGUUUAGGGUUAAAUAUUUCGAUUAUGGGUUAAAUUCAUUUUGCUGUUAUUUAUUUGUAAUUCCCAAUUAAUUGGGAGUGGAUUUUUCAAUCAAGAUGGAAAAAAGUAAAUUCGCCGUCAAAUUUUAAAUCACAUGCUCAUAAAAAAGGAAUAAAUAAAAUCUAAACUAUCUUUUUACAUUUAUUGAUUAUAAUUUACAAUAAUCACAGUCAUAUCUUUGUAUGGAGUGUGAAUUACCCAAAUAUAAGAUUAGAAAAACUUAAAAAAUGUCUAAACCACCGUUUUUACAUUAAUGAUUAUAAAUUACAAUAAUUACAGUCAUAUCGUUAUUUGAAUUCAUAUCGUUAUUUGAAUUCAUAUCGUUAUUUGAAUUUUGCUAAUUUGAUUAAUAUUUUUUUUGUCGAUAGGAUUUGUUCGUGUGCGUUUUCUUGGCACCCAAGUAACAACGUAACCGUUACCGCCAGUCCCCAGAAGGUCACGUGAGGGAGUAAAGGUCACGUGCCUCCGCCUUCCUUUUUUUCUUGGCGAAACUAAAAAUUCAAAACAGGAAGAGAAAAGGAAACGAAGCCUCAGUGUUUCCAUUUCUCUGGAUUCAGAAAAUCCAAAUCAUUCUGAAAUCUGGAAUUUGUUGUUCCCUCUCUAUAAAUUCCUCCCUCUUCCCACUCUUUCUUCAACCUCUGGUCGCCUCUCGUCUGCUUGCUUUGACGAUGGCGAGUCUCGGUGAGUUGCCUCGAAAACGUGAGACUGAGAUCAGACGACCGCCAAGGAGGAUGUCGGAACUUGAACAGCUCAUCAGCUCCGCUCUCAGAGAUGCCCAUGCCGCCAGAGACAAAGGCUCUUACACCGUCUCUCGCGAAGCCACCUCUUGCGUCGGAUCUCUUAGACAUAUCAAAUCUCUACCCCUCGAUUCUCGUCGUAUCUCCGAUUCCGACGCCUUUUGCCCUCUUCUGUUUCUUGCCAAGAACGACAACCCUAAGAUUCGUUCCGAGGCGAGAUCUGUGCUCACCCAUCUGAGGAACAUCAUGUCUGGAACUUCUGUACCAGAAACAAUGGUAUCCUUCUUGCUCGUCGUUUCGUGAUGAAGGGUCUCCGAAUAAGAAGAAGACGACGCCGAUCAGAAUAAGAACAGAAUCGACGAGGAACGGCCAAGAUUCCGUCGGUAAAAAGAAGAAGGCAUCGACAUCGGGCGGCGAUACCCAGAAGAAGAUAUCGAUUCAGAAAGACAAAACAGAGGCCGAGAAGAACGAUGGGGGGUCGGUAAAUUCUCGCUCCAUUCCUGAAGCUCGUGAUGAUACACAGCAGCAGAAGAAGAUGGAGACGACGACGACAGAGUAUAUGAAAGUAUACGAGACCUUGAAGGAAGCGCACGAGGCAGUGAAAAAGCGUAGCAUUCUGAGUGCAGAGGAGUCGAGAAGAUGUGUAGUGGCGUUGAAAGGACUGUUCGUAGUUCCGCAGGGGGUGACACGUGAUCUUCUUAUGUCGACGGAUGCCGGGUUAAGGAUGCAAUCUCUGAAUGAACACAGAGAUCCUGACGUUCAAUCCAUGGCGGCGUCAUUGUUGGAGCACUGGUUGUUGCUUAUCUACCACAGUAGCUGAUGUCAGCUUUCGAUCCACUAUUACUGCUACUGCUGUCUCUGUGUUCAUGGAACAGUUUGAUGUAAUCUUUACAGUUCCCUUCUUGUCUGGAAUGGAUUUAAGCAUGUGAUUGAAGUAUAGUCUAUAGAUUCAAUAUUUUUAACA